AUUGAACGCUGGCGGCAGGCCUAACACAUGCAAGUCGCACGAGUGGCGGCCGGGUGAGUAAUGUCUGGGAAACUGCCCGAUGGAGGGGGAUAACUACUGGAACCGGUAGCUAAUACCGCAUACCAUCGGAUGUGCCCAGCUGGGCGUCGCCAGUCGGUGGGGUAACGGCUCACCUAGGCGACGAGCCCUAGCGGGUCUGAGAGGAUGACCAGCCAGAGUGGAACGGAGACACGGUCCAGCCUCCUACGGGAGGCAGAAGUGGGGAAUAUUGCACAAUGGGCGCAAGCCUGCUGCAGCCAUGCCGCGUGUAUGAAGAAGGCCUUCGGGUUGGAAAGUACUUUCAGCGAGGAGGCGUUACUCGCAGAAGAAGCACCGGCUAACUCCGUGCCAGCAGCCGCGGUAAUAC
rnacentral:rRNA from 1 species